rnacentral:rRNA from 1 species
GACGAACGCUGGCGGCGUGCCUAAUACAUGCAAGUUGAGCGCUGAAGGUUGGUACUUGUACCAACUGGAUGAGCAGCGAACGGGUGAGUAACGCGUGGGGAAUCUGCCUUCGAGCGGGGGACAACAUAUGGAAACGAAUGCUAAUACCGCAUAAAACCUUUAAACACAAGUUUUAAGUUUGAAAGAUGCAAUUGCAUCACUCAAAGAUGAUCCCGCGUUGUAUUAGCUAGUUGGUGAGGUAAAGGCUCACCAAGGCGAUGAUACAUAGCCGACCUGAGAGGGUGGUCGGCCACAUUGGGACUGAGACACGGCCCAAACGCCUACGGGAGGCAGCAGUAGGGCAUCUUCGGCGAUGGACGAAAGUCUGACCGAGCAACGCCGCGUGAGUGAAGAAGGUUUUCGGAUCGUAAAACUCUGUUGGUAGAGAAGAACGUUGGUGCGAGUGGAAAGCUCAUCAAGUGACGGUAACUACCCAGAAAGGGACGGCUAACUACGUG